rnacentral:rRNA from 1 species
AACGAACGCUGGCGGCAGGCUUAACACAUGCAAGUCGAACGCAUCGCAAGAUGAGUGGCAGACGGGUGAGUAACGCGUGGGAACAUACCCUUUUCUACGGAAUAGCUCUGGGAAACUGGAAUUAAUACCGUAUACGCCCUACGGGGGAAAGAUUUAUCGGGGAAGGAUUGGCCCACGUUGGAUUAGCUAGUUGGUGGGGUAAAGGCCUACCAAGGCGACGAUCCAUAGCUGGUCUGAGAGGAUGAUCAGCCACAUUGGGACUGAGACACGGCCCAAACUCCUACGGGGGGCAGCAGUGGGGAAUAUUGGAAAAUGGGCGCAAGCCUGAUCCAGCCAGGCCGCGUGAGUGAUGAAGGCCUUAGGGUUGUAAAGCUCUUUCACCGAUGAAGAUAAUGACGGUAGUCGGAGAAGAAGCCCCGGCUAACUUCGUGCCAGCCGCCGCCGUAA